UACAGAGGUCUCAAGCGUUGUUCGGAUUCAUUGGGCGUAAAGGGUGCGUAGGUGGCGCCGUAAGUCGGGUGUGAAAUUUCGGAGCUUAACUCCGAAACUGCAUUCGAUACUGCGGUGCUUGAGGACUGGAGAGGAGACUGGAAUUCAUGGUGUAGCAGUGAAAUGCGUAGAGAUCAUGAGGAAGACCAGUGGCGAAGGCGGGUCUCUGGACAGUUACUGACACUGAGGCACGAAGGCCAGGGGAGCAAACGGG
rnacentral:rRNA from 1 species